rnacentral:rRNA from 1 species
UACGUAGGGUGCGAGCGUUAAUCGGAAUGACUGGGCGUAAAGCGUGCGCAGGCGGUUUGUUAAGACAGAUGUGAAAUCCCCGGGCUCAACCUGGGAACUGCAUAUGUGACUGGCAGGCUAGAGUGUGUCAGAGGGGGGUAGAAUUCCACGUGUAGCAGUGAAAUGCGUAGAGAUGUGGAGGAAUACCGAAGGCGAAGGCAGCCUUCUGGGCCAACACUGACGCUCAUGCACGAAAGCGUGGGGAGCAAACAGG